GAGUUCAGACGUGUGCUCUCCCGAUCUGUUUCCCAGUCACGAUACAGUUUCAGCUGUAUAGUGGCGGAAGGGUUAGUAAUACUUGAGUAACCUACACUUAACCUGGGGAUAACGAUUGGAAACGAUCGCUAAUACCGAAUGAGGUAACAGUAGAUAACUAUUGAUUAUCAAAGUGGGGGAUCGCAAGACCUUGCGGUUAAGAAAGGGCUCAUGGGAUAUCAGCUAGUUGGUGAGGUAACGGCUCACCAAGGCUAAGACGUCUAGGCGGACUGAGAGGUUGACCGCCAACACUGGGACUGAGAACUGCCCAGACUCCUACGGGAGGCUGCAGUCGAGAAUCAUUCACAAUGGGGGAAACCCUGAUGAUGCGACGCCGUGUGAGCGAUGAAGGCCUUCGGGUUGUAAAGCUCUUUCGUGAGGGAACAAGAAAUGAGGACUAAUAAUCUUCAAAUUUGAGAGUACCUUAUAAAGAAGCACCGGCUAACUCCGUGCCAGCAGCUGCGGUAAUACGGAGGGUGCAAGCAUUAAUCGGAAUUAUUGGGCGUAAAGGGCGCGUAGGCUGGAAGGAAAGUCAGAUGUGAAAUUUCGGAGCUCAACUUCGAAGCGGCAUUUGAAACUCCCUUCCUUGAGGAUAGGCGGAGAAAACGGAAUUCCACGUGUAGCGGUGAAAUGCGUAGAUAUGUGGAAGAACACCUGUGGCGAAAGCGGUUUUCUAGCUUACGCCUGACGCUGAGGCGCGAAAGCAAGGGGAGCAAACAGGAUUAGAUACCCUGGUAGUCCUUGCUGUAAACGUUGUAUACUUGAUGUAGUUGGACUUAAUCCCAACUGUGUCGAAGCUAACGCGAUAAGUAUACCGCCUGGGGAGUACGCUCGCAAGGGUAAAACUCAAAAGAAUUGACGGGGGCCCGCACAAGCAGUGGAGCAUGUGGUUUAAUUCGAUGCAACGCGAAGAACCUUACCCAGACUUGACAUAUAAUGGACAGCAGCAGAAAUGAUGCCUUCCGCAAGGACCGUUAUACAGGUGCUGCAUGGCUGUCGUCAGCUCGUGCCGUGAGGUGUUGGGUUAAGUCCCGCAACGAGCGCAACCCUUGUCAUUAGUUGCCAGCACGUAAUGGUGGGAACUCUAAUGAGACUGCCUAGGUUAACUAGGAGGAAGGUGAGGAUGACGUCAAGUCCGCAUGGCCCUUAUGUCUGGGGCUACACACGUGCUACAAUGGUCGGUACAAUAGGCAGCUAAGCCGAAAGGUGGAGCAAAUCCAAAAAGCCGACCCCAGUUCAGAUUGUAGUCUGCAACUCGACUACAUGAAGCCGGAAUUGCUAGUAAUGGCGUGUCAGCAACAACGCCGUGAAUACGUUCUCGGGCCUUGUACACACCGCCCGUCACAUCAUGGGAGUUGGUUUUACCCGAAGUCACUGACUCAACCGCAAGGGGAUUAUCGUGACUGGGAAACAGAUCGGAAGAGCACACGUC
rnacentral:rRNA from 1 species